rnacentral:rRNA from 1 species
CCUACGGGAGGCAGCAGUGAGGAAUAUUGGUCAAUGGACGAGAGUCUGAACCAGCCAAGUGGCGUGAAGGAUGACUGCCCUAUGGGUUGUAAACUUCUUUUAUAUGGGAAUAAAAUGUUCCACGUGUGGGCUUUUGUAUGUACCAUAUGAAUAAGGAUCGGCUAACUCCGUGCCAGCAGCCGCGGUAAUACGGAGGAUCCGAGCGUUAUCCGGAUUUAUUGGGUUUAAAGGGAGCGUAGGUGGAUUGUUAAGUCAGUUGUGAAAGUUUGCGGCUCAACCGUAAAAUUGCAGUUGAAACUGGCAGUCUUGAGUACAGUAGAGGUGGGCGGAAUUCGUGGUGUAGCGGUGAAAUGCUUAGAUAUCACGAAGAACUCAGAUUGCGAAGGCAGCUCACUGGACUGCAACUGACACUGAGGCUCGAAAGUGUGGGUAUCAAACAGGAUUAGAUACCCGAGUAGUC